CUAUUCAGCAGGAUCUCCUUGUAAAUCUAUUCUAAGUUGUGUCUGAUAAGCCCAAGCUCCCGAUCCCUCCCACUCUCUCCCCCUCCCAUCAGGCAGCCACAAGUCUCUUCUCCAAGUCCAUGAUUUUCUUUUCUGAGGAGAUGUUCAUUUGUGCUGGAUAUUAGAUUCCAGUUAUAAGUGAUAUCAUAUGGUAUUUGUCUUUGUCUUUCUGGCUCAUUUCACUCAGUAUGAGAUUCUCUAGUUCCAUCCAUGUUGCUGCAAAUGGCAUUAUGUCAUUCUUUUUAAUGGCUGAGUAGUAUUCCAUUGUGUAUAUAUACCACAUCUUCCGAAUCCAAUCACAGGAUACUUCUCUUAGUCCUGGACUUGAUGUUUUCUACGAGAAAAGUCAGAUGCUGUCAUGGGUUUUCUGAAUUUGAAAAUAUAUACUUUUAAUUUUCAAGUACAUCUAAUGCUUUCUUCUUAGUGAUAACGCUCGGUUUUACAUUUUAAACUAGGCUUCUCCUUCAGGAAAGAUGAGAAAAGCCAGGACUAACUAAUGAAGGUUUGUUGUGUUCAGACCACAUCUCAGAGAUGUUUUUUCUGCUUGUUCAGCUGCAGACCAUCCACAGCAUCCUGCCCUGGCCUCCCUAAAUAAAGAUAAUGUCUAAAGUUCAAUUCCAAGGGUUCAUUGUUGUAAGUUAAGUCGUAGUGAAAGGAAAGAAAUGUUAUUCUUGACAAUUAGUGGUUAAAACUUUCAGGUAAAAUGAUAUUAUAUAAGAUAUAAUCUUAGUUAAAAUAUAAUAAUCUUAGUGUUUGGAAGUGGACUAUAUUCUGUUCACCAAAGCAGUAUGAUGAAAUUCUCAUAUUAGAAAAUUAGUAGACAUUAGAACAUUCCUUUUCUUUUUUAUAAUUGCAUCUCAUGUGCGUAGUUGUCUUUUUUGUUUUCUGGCAGUGCCCACAGCAUGUGAAAGUUCCCAGGCCAGGGAUUGAAUCUGCACCACAGCAGCGACCUGAGCCACAGCAGUGACAACACUGGGUCCUUAACCCACUGAGCUACUGGAGAACUCCCGAUCUGCAUAGUAUUGAAUUAAUUAUAAUCCUUGUAUUAUGGUACCCCUCCCUCUUGGUCUGUGCCAGGCCUCUUUCAUUGAUUUGUUUUUAUAUAAUUAUGUCCUAUAAAUCCACCAGGAACUUGAAGCUACCAGGAUUCACCUGCCAGCACAGGCUGCCCUCUCCUUGCCCAGCAGCAUGUCCUCAGUCUCUGCGUCCUGCUCCCCGAAGGCUUCCUCUCCUGCAGUCUCAAAGGAUCUGCUUGUUUUUCCGGAAUAGAGCUGUGCUCUUCCCAUCUUUCUCUGGACCACUCCCUCCUUUACCCACUUGCUGGCCAUCACUGUGGCAUCGUGUUUCCGUGUCCGUGCACGUGUGGAUCUGCCCCGGCCCUCUGUUCUCCAAGCUGGUUCGCUGCUGGCGAUGUCUUCAUGAGGGCCCAUGUGGUUCUUCCCCAGAGGGCCUGGCCCUGACUUGUUCUUGGCCCUUGGCUCUUAUACAGAUUGUAGAAGCAUUUGGUUGGCCCGUGAAAUCUCAUGAGCACUCCUCAUGGGUUUGGAUGGAGAAUGGCAGGUGACCUCUUGGCCAGGUUGGAGGAGAAUUGACAGCUUGAUCACAGACAUGUUUGCAUCUGUGCCCAGGGGUUGUCUAGUCAUUCAUCCAGAUCUCCUAACAUCCCAUGGAGGUUCUGCACAUCUUUAUUUUUGAAGACUUUAUAUUAUUGGAUGCCAUCACAAAUAUGACAUUAAAAAAUAAUAAAGGGAGUUCUUCCGUGGCACAGAGGGUUAAGGAUCCAGCAUUGUCACUGCAGUGGCCUGGGUUAUUGCUGUGGUGGGGUCCGGUCCCUGACCCGAGAAUUUCCACAGAUAAUGGGUGUGGCUGAAGAAUCUCACAGUGAGAUUCACCCUCUUUUGUGUACACUGCCGUGCGUUCUGGCCACCCCCACAUCAAGGCAAGGGCUGUUUCCAUCAUCCCUGAAGCCCCCUUGUGCCUCUGCAGACAACCCUGUACACCUGAGCUGCUGGCAGCCUGCUGACGUCUUUCUGGCCCCUGUGGUUUUGUCCUCACCAGGGUGUUACACAGAGGGGCGGUGACCUGUGGCUCUGGUUUUCUCACUUAGCUCAGGGUAUUGGGGCGUAGCCAUCUCUUCUCAGUACUGAGAAUGUUCCACCAUGUAGAUGCCUCUGAUUUUGUGUUCGUUCAGCAGUGGAAGGACGGUGGGUUGUUUGCAGUUGUUUUUGUUUAUGACCCUCAUUUGCUGCAAGUGGGUCGUGAACAGAUGUUUAGGGGCACCUGCUUUUCCUGUGUCCAUUGAGAAGAUCACGUGGUUUUCCUACUUUAGUUUGUUGAGAAGAUGGAUUCAGGUCUAAAUGUGCUGAUGGCCAGAAUUUUAACUCAGUUGUUGUGGAUAUUCUUGUACUCUUUUUUUCUCUUUUUCUUUUUCAAAACAAAUUUUGGGGAGUUCCUCUUGUGGCUUGGUGGUAACAAAUCCUACUGGUAUCCAUAAGGAUGCGUUUUUUUUCCCCCUUGUCUUUUUAGGGCCACACCCACGGCAUAUGGAAGUUCCCAGGCUAGGGGUCAAAUCUGGAGCCGGCCUACAUCACAGUCACAGCAAUGCCAGAUCUGAGCCACUUCUCUGACCUACACCACAGCUCAUGGCAAUGACGGAUCCUUUAACCCACUGAGUGAGGCCAGGAAUCAAACCUGCGUCCUCAUGGAUGCUAGUCAGAUUCAUUUCCACUGAGCCAUGAUGGGAACCCCGAGGUUUCGGGUUUGAUCCCUGGCCUUGCUCAGUGGGUUAAGGAUUUGGUACUGCCAUGAGCUGUGGUGUAGGUUGCAGACAUGACUCAGAUCCCUCAUUGCCGUGGCUGUGGCAUAGACCAGCAGCUGCAAUUCUGAUUUGAUGCCUAGCCUGGGAACUUCCAUGUGCCGCAGGUGCAGCCCUAAAAAGAAAAGGAAAAAAAACCAAAAAACUUUUUUGAUGCACCACAACAUAUAGAAGUUUCUGGGUCAGGGAUUGAAUCCAAGCUGCAGUUGCAGCAGUGCUGGAUCCUUUAAACCACCGUGCUGGGCCAAGUUUUGAACCUGUGCCUUCACAGUAGUCAGAUUCUUAACCCACUGGGCCCCAGCGGGAAUGCCCAUAGUUAAGUUUUAAUAUGGUGUGAGGUAGAGUCCAGCUUCAUUCUUUUGCAUGUGGCCAUCCAGAUGUUCCAGUGCCAUUUGUUGAAAAGACUAUUCUCUCCCCAUUGAAUUGUCUUGGCAUCUUUGUCAACUGACCACAAAUUUAAGGCCUUUUUUUCCCUGUACUCAGUUCUAUUCCCUUGAUCUUUAUGUCUGUCCUUAUGCCAGUCUUGAUUACUAUGGCUUUGUAGAUUUUGGUUUUUUGGGGGUUUUUUGAAUGAUUUUUAUUUUUUUCCAUUAUAGCUGGUUUACAGUGUUCUGUCAAUUUUCUACUAUACAGCAAGGGGACACAGUCACACAUACAUGUAUACAUUCUAUUUUCUCACAUUAUCAUGCUCCAUCAUAAGUGACUAGGCAUAGUUCCCAGUGCUACACAGCAGGAUCUCAUUGCUUAUCCAUUCCAAAGGCAAUAGUUUGGAGUUCCCAUCGUGGCGCAGUGGUUAACGAAUCCGACUAGGACCCAUGAGGUUGCAGGUUCGGUCCCUGCCCUUGCUCAGUGGGUUGACGAUCCGGCGUUGCCGUGAGCUGUGAUGUAGGUUGCAGACGCGGCUCAGAUCCCGAGUUGCUGUGGCUCUGGUGUAGGCCGGUGGCUACAGCUCUGAUUGGACCCCUAGCCUGGGAACCUCCAUGUGCCACGGGAGCAGCCCUAGAAAU
rnacentral:lncRNA from 1 species